AUUGAACGCUAGCGGGAUGCCUUACACAUGCAAGUCGAACGGAGUGGCGAACGGGUGAGUAAUGUAUCGGAACGUGCCCAGUAGCGGGGGAUAACUACGCGAAAGCGUAGCUAAUACCGCAUCCGGUUGGAGCGGCCGAUAUCGGCUUAGCUAGUUGGUGGGGUAACGGCUCACCAAGGCGACGAUCCGUAGCUGGGUUGAGAGGACGACACGCCACACUGGGACUGGGACACGGCCCAGACUCCUACGGGAGGCAGCAGUGGGGAAGUGUGGGCAAUGGUGGAAACCCUGAUCCAGCCAUCCCGCGGGUGCGAUGAAGGCGUUCGGGUUGUAAAGCACUUUUGGCAGGAAAGCGGUACCUGCAGAAUAAGCACCGGCUAACUACGUGCCAGCAGCCGCGGUAAUUC
rnacentral:rRNA from 1 species